UCGAGAAUAAUCCGCAAUGGGCGAAAGCCUGACGGUGCGACGCCGCGUGGACGAUGAAGGCCUUCGGGUUGUAAAGUCCUUUCGCGCAGUAGGAAACGCGGGGUGCCAAUACCACUCCGAUUGACGUCACUGCGUAAAGAAGCUCCGGCUAACUUCGUGCCAGCAGCCGCGGUAAGACGAAGGGAGCAAGCGUUGUUCGGAAUCACUGGGCAUAAAGGGCACGCAGGCGGCCUAGCAAGUUGAGUGUGAAAGCCCCUGGCUCAACCAGGGAAUUGCACUCAAAACUGCCGGGCUUGAGCUCGGGAGGGGAGAGUGGAACUCCUAGUGUAGCGGUGAAAUGCGUAGAUAUUAGGAGGAACGCCGGUGGCGAAAGCGACUCUCUGGUCCGAUGCUGACGCUCAGGUGCGAAAGCUAGGGGAGCAAACAGGAUUAGAUACCCUGGUAGUCCUAGCCCUAAACGAUGAGCACUAGGUAGGGGAGGUUCCGAUGCCUUCUCUGCUGUCGCAAAUGUAUUAAGUGCUCCGCCUGGGGAGUACGGUCGCAAGGCUA
rnacentral:rRNA from 1 species